GAUGAAGAACGCAGCGAAAUGCGAUAAGUAAUGUGAAUUGCAGAAUUCAGUGAAUCAUCGAAUCUUUGAACGCACAUUGCGCCCCCUGGUAUUCCGGGGGGCAUGCCUGUCCGAGCGUCAUUACAACCCUCAAGCUCAGCUUGGUAUUGGGCCCCGCCGCUCCGGCGGGCCCUAAAGUCAGUGGCGGUGCCGUCCGGCUCCGAGCGUAGUAAUUCUUCUCACUCUGGAGGCCCGGUCGUGUGCUCGCCAGCAACCCCCAAUUUUUUUCAGGUUGACCUCGGAUCAGGUAGGGAUACCCGCUGAACUUAAGCAUAUCAAUAAGCGGAGGA
rnacentral:misc_RNA from 1 species